rnacentral:sRNA from 1 species
GUGGAUAAGCGGAGCAGCUGUAGUCAAUGCAUUUUACUCUUCAGGAAGAAAUCAGAUAGUCUUCCCAGCCGGCAUUCUGCAGCCCCCCUUCUUUAGUGCCCAGCAGUCCAACUCAUUGAACUAUGGGGGCAUCGGCAUGGUCAUAGGACACGAAAUCACCCAUGGCUUCGAUGACAAUGGCAGAAACUUUAACAAAGAUGGAGACCUCGUUGACUGGUGGACUCAACAGUCUGCAAGUAACUUUAAGGAGCAAUCCCAGUGCAUGGUGUAUCAGUAUGGAAACUUUUCCUGGGACCUGGCAGGUGGACAGCACCUCAAUGGAAUUAAUACACUGGGAGAAAACAUUGCUGAUAAUGGAGGUCUUGGUCAAGCAUACAGAGUAAGUAAAAAGAUUUUCUUUCCAUUUUAGUGAUUUAGAGUGUUUCUCAUAUUUAAUAAUUCAUUUAAAACCUUUUGCAAAAAAA